rnacentral:lncRNA from 1 species
UGAUGGUGGGGGUCAAGUAGCAGGGCUGCCCAGGUGAUGUAGCAGGGCUGCCCAGGUGAUGUAGCAGGGCUGCCCAGAUGAUGGCGGGGGUCAAGUAGUAGGGCUGCCCAGGUGAUGGUGGGGGUCAAGUAGCAGGGCUGCGUCCUGAUGGUGGGGGUCAAGUAGCAGGGCUGCGUCCUGAUGGUGGGGGUAAAGUAGCAGGGCUGCGUCCUGA